AGAGUUUGAUUAUGGCUCAGAACGUACGCUGGCGGCACGCCUAACACAUGCAAGUCGAACGAAGUAGCAAUACUUAGUGGCAGACGGGUGAGUAACAUGUAGGUAUCUGCCCUUUGGCCUGGAAUAACACGAGGAAACUUGUGCUAAUACCGGAUAAGUCUUUACGGAGAAAGCUUUAUGCACCAUUGGACGAGCCUGCACUUGAUUAGUUUGUUGGUGGGGUAAUGGCCUACCAAGACUGUGAUCAAUAGCUGAUUUGAGAGGAUGAUCAGCCACAUUGGGACUGAGACACGGCCCAAACUCCUACGGGAGGCAGCAGUGGGGAAUCUUGCACAAUGGAGGAAACUCUGAUGCAGCGAUGCCGCGUGAGUGAAGAAGGCCCUUGGGUUGUAAAGCUCUUUCGUCGGGGAAGAAAAUGACUGUACCCGAAUAAGAAGGUCCGGCUAACUUCGUGCCAGCAGCCGCGGUAAUAC
rnacentral:rRNA from 1 species